UUCGUGGAGUGAUCUGUCUGCUUAAUUGCGUUUCAAAUUUUUAACCNANGACCGGGUUUUGGUUUGGCUAGUGGUCCUACGAUGACUGUGAACUGUCAUGUCUUCGGANGUACGACUAUCGGUCUAGGAUCACAUGACUUGCCCCUGGGACUCUUUUGAACGCAACGGACGUGAUUGCAACCCCUUGUUGAGAUUAGAGAUAGUCUCGAUAUUCACUGGCCAAACUGGCUGCUUUAUGCAGUCUUGUUGAAUGGUGGAUAAACUCGGGGGACUGCUGACUAUAACCAUUUCUCAAAACAGAGGAAGGUUGCGGCAAUAACAGGUCU
rnacentral:rRNA from 1 species